rnacentral:lncRNA from 1 species
CCUUUUGGAAUAGAGUCCAUAAUUUUGAAUAUGUAUUCAAUUUGUUUGGUUGUUUUCAGAUGUAAAAUGCAGUUCAGCUGUGGAUGAAGUCACUCCUCAAGGAAAAAAUAUCAAUGUGAAACAGAAUACCAAUUAAAAAACAUAAUUUAGAAAAAAAGUAUCUGAACAAAUAAACUUUUAGCGAUGGGUCCUGCAGACCCAAACCCCUUUGCUGAAGAGUGUGAUCAGGCAGGUGUCAGUUUUGGAAUUUCUGAGCAUUUAGAAAUGUAUUUCAUGUACUAAUUAAUAUCUCAAAGGCAAGCACAUAGCAAAGCAUAGGAAUACUUACCCAAGUGACAGGAAUAAAGGCCAUUCAUAGCCUCAUGCCCCUUUUUGAUAAGGAGUUAUGAUCCAUCUUUUUCUCAUAGAUUUUGGAAUUGUAGAGGAGAGAUUUUUGGCAUUUGGUAGUAGAUGAAGUUAGCAUAGAGUACAGUUAGGACCAGAGGAAAAAAUUAGGACAGGGAACGUAUCCAAGAUACUUUGAGGCUGGAUAAUGGAUAUUUAAUUUGACCUUAUUUUAAAAUAUGUAAAAGUUCAUAUCCUACAGAGGAAGUCUCCCUCUUGGGAUACAGGUUAGGGCAACAAGGCUUUGAGCCAGGGACCAGCAGCCAAUCAGUGGGGAUGACCCCACCCCGACAACCCUGAGCAGGUGCUCAGAUAGUAUCUUAAGGUCUGCAGAAAAUGUUUGGUAGGAUGUAAAUGAGAUGCAGGAACAAAAUGACAAUCAGGAUGUGUAAAUAUGGAAUGGCAUGCAGAGUGGCCCCACAGAUGUCCAUCCCUAAUGUGUGGCACCUGUGAAUAGGUGACAACCACAGAAAAAGGGACUUUUUACACUUGAGUGAGGUUAGGAAGGUGACCCUGGAUGACCAUGUUGAUCUAGCCUAAGCAUGUGAGCCCUUCAAAGCAGAAAACUUUCUCUACCUCUUAGCAGAAGAAGACAAGGAGAUACAGCAGGAGGACCCAAGAUCCGUACCAUUCAAGAGUCUCCACCCAUCACUUGCGGAGGGGCCUCUAGGAAAAGAGAAGGAAUAAGGGGAAACAUCUAGCAGCUGAGAGACCUGCCAAGCCCCUGACAGCCAUCAGACCUACAACAGCAAGGAUCGACCAAUAUCCAGUCACCCACGUGAGCAUGCUAGGGACGGCAGAGCAGGAGAGCAGGUCACCUGCUGGCAUUUGAAUCCACUCCCACACCCUGAGGAUGAGGGUGGCUGGCUGGUCCUGAACAGUUUGUACAAACAGAGGGGUUGACACUCAACACCUGCUUUCCUUCUGGAACUCCAUUUUUGGUAAGUGCGAGGUAGAAAUUGCCAAUAUGUCUCGUCCCCCCCAAAAUGCUCAUAAGCUUCCCUCACCUCAUGACACUGUUGGUAGCUUCCAGGCAGGCACUUUUAUAAACAAUAACCUAUGCUUGGUGGGGUAGGGAGGGGGGAGAUGCUGCCUAUUUAUAUAACUGUUAAGGUCCCUUCAGAGUUGUUUUGUUCCAGAUAAGGCUCUCCAGAGACACCCAUCAGGAACCAGCCAAAAUCACAGACUAACUCUCUCUCUUACAAGUGACCUAGAGUUAACUUGGCUCAUUAUAAUGCUAAAUCCUUUGUCCAGGAGGUGUUUCCAGACACUAUUAGUAAGAAUGAAAUAUAUGACAAAGGAUAAUCUCCAAACGAGAAUGCUCAGGAAUAGCCCACCUCUGCAUGUGAUGAAGCUCUCUGCUUUAUGAAUACAUAUAAGUUUCCUCAGUAAAAGCCCCUGGCCUCCUCUGGGGGGACACUGAUGUGGGAGCUAUCCUGAGUGUCUUCUUGACAUUUUUUUUGAGAUUGAAUAUUUUAUUUGUUCUUUUUUGUUAUACAUGAGAAUAGAGUCUAUUUAGAUAUUUAUACAAAGAUGCACUACACCUUAUUCUAACCUUCCUUCAUUCUUCUAUCUCCUGGUGUGCUUACUGUUAGGCACUCGACAAGGAGUGAACCCACUAUCUUUGGUCACACCAUCACUUUGCCUCUUAUGUUCAAAUACAGGGGUGGGGGCAGGCCAUUAGACCACAGCAUCGUUCUUAAAGGAGCUCAAAGUACAGGCAAGGAGAACAACUCUACACCGGCAAAGGGCUAGAGGAAGGCCGAAUCAGAGGAGUUUAAUUGGGUUUGGGGACCAGGAAUGAUAGAUUACACUCCUCUGUUAAUUCAGCAACCAUUUCAUUCCCAAGCACCCACCAUGCAGUGCUGGGAUGCAGGGAGCACAGUCAGGGUCUCUGGGUGAGCUCCCUGGGAACCAGAGCAGCCAGCUCCUGACUCUACAGCGUAGCCUAAACACACAGUGCUGCCAAGGACAGAGGUGGGCAGCACCAUCCUCACACACAUGGUCUAGGGCUAAUAAUGCCCUCCUUUUUAAUUUUAAAAAAUCAUUUAGUAGGAAACCUUUGAAAAUUAAAAUGCCAUGUGCUUGCUACCACAAUAUCAACUUUGGAUGAUUUUGAGAAUAUACUUCAAAAGAAAAACAAAUGCAGACACCAUUAAUAAAAAUGAUCAAUAUAUUGUCUGAUCAAUAUAUUGCCACCUACCUCAUUUAUAUUUUCAGAUCUAUUUUUUUCAUUAUAUAUGGCAGUUACAUUUCAAUAUUUUUUAAAAAAUAAAUUUUCAAGAUCCCAGUUUUCCGUGCAUUUUGAAAUGUAAUUCUCCACCGCCAGUCUAAUUACCAAAUGAUGAUAAAGUUAAUUCAUUAAUCCAAGAAGCAUCUGCAGAGCAACUACCAUGUAUACCACUAUUCUUGAUGCUAUUUCUACCAGGGCUCUUGCCCUGCAAACAAAAUGGCAGAUGGUGACACUUAGAUGUGGCUUCCUUCCAGCUUAAGUGAAAAAUGAGAAUUUUCACCAAUGCUCAGUCAUUUAAUGGGGGGGGGAUUAAAAACAUAAUACUUAUUUAAUGUAACUAAGAAUAAACAUAUAGUAGCUGUCACCUAUUUUAGAAAUCUGAAUUAUUUAUUUUUGAACAAAAGUUCUCUCUAUAUCCAGUGUGUCUUAUUAAAUUUUAACUCUUAUUCAUUGCCCCUACCCCCUUUUUUUUGCAGUGCUGGCAACUGAACCCAGAACCUCAAACAUGUGAAGCAAAUGCACCAGGGCUAAACUCUGUCCCCACCAUUUUAUUCAUUGUGUGUGGUUAUUUUUUUUUUUCUUUUUCAGAACGGGGGAUUGAACUCAGGGGCCCUCGACCACUGAGCCACAUCCCCAGCUCUUUUUUUUUUUUUUGUAUUUUAUUUAGAGAUGGGGUCUCACUGAGUUGCUUAGCACCUCACUUUUGCAGAGGCUGGCUUUACAUUCAAAAUCCUCCUGCCUCAGCCUCCCAAGCUGCUGGGAUUUCAUGCGUGCACCACCGCACCUGGAAUGUUAUUCAUUCUUAAUCAACAUUUAUCUCAACCCUGGCAAGGACUUGGUUUUCUUUGAACUAGCUCAACAUUAAUAUCUACUUCUGAUCUUAUAUCUGGCACCUGCUUCUUUGAGGCCAGACCUAAAAAUUCUUACAAAUUCCAUUCUGUUUUGCUAUUUUGGUUAUUGUUAGAGAAUGAGUUCUUGAUACAAUUAACACCAACAUUUAUUGAUGAACUAAUAAGAGCUUCAGAGAUUUAGAAAAAAAAAAUAGACCUCAGUCUGUUUGUUUAUAAUAAGUAACAGAGUUCUAACAAAAUUCUACUGAGGACAAUUUAUUACUCCCGAUAAUGAUCAUUCUGUGGCCUCAAGCCUUAUUGGUAAGCAAUAUGUUAAGAAGAAGUGGCUUUUAAGCUAACACCCUUCCUCUUACCAUGGAAAUUGAGGAAAAAGAAAAAGGUAUCCAAUAUCCUUAGCCUGAAUUAAAUGAAGCUAAACUGUGCACCUUGUUAUUGUGGUAAAAUAUACAUUAGCACAAACUUUUCCCACUUUAGCUGAUUUUGAUUUUAAGUCUCCAGUUCUGCUGCACUGAGUCCAUCCACCCUGCUGUGCAGCUGUCUCCUCCACCCAGAGGAGAACUGUUUCAUCUUCCUAAACUCCUCUGUUAAUUCAGAGGAGUAUCCACUGAACACUAGCUGCCCCUUCUCCCCUCACCCACCCCCUGGCAACCAUCUACACUAUAUUUUCAAUAAAAAAUCAAUUUCUUCUCCCGUCUGAUAAUCCUUCCUCAGUCCACACCCUGACUGGGUGCUCCACCAGCCUGGUACAAGUACUGUGCAGAGGGUGCCAACACUCUCCCUUUAGGGCCUGAUUUCAGAGCUCAAGGACUAUGUUUUAAAAAUUACAGAUAUUUGACUAUUCAAAAAAGUUAAGCAAACAAAAUUUAAAUCUUCUAAAAGAAGCACUGAUAUGUACUAAGAAGUAGAAAAUAUGUCUUAUAUUAUAUUAUAUUAUAUUACUUAAAAUAGGGGCUAGGGGUAUAGCUCAGUUGGUAGAGUGCUUGUCUCACCAGCACAAGGCCCUGGGUUCAAUCUUACUUAAAAUAAUUAAUAAUAGUUUUAUCAAUAAUUGAUCAUUAAAUCAAUUAUUAAUAAUCAAUUAUUAUUAUAAUAAUCAAUAAUAAUUUAUUCCCAAGAAUCAACAGGCCAUGAAUGGCAAAAGCCACCUAGGUCCCUGAACACAUCCUCCAUAGGUAGAUUCUCCACUGCAUAUAUUUUUUAAGUGUUCAGUGUCUCUUGGAAAUCUCACUUGAUCAGUCGUCACAGAAGAAUGAAUUUAUUGGAUUAAACAAUGUCAAGGCAAUGCAAACUACUGAGUAAUUGAACAAAAAUAAAAUGGAUUAUAUGUGAUUUCUUGAUCCCUAGACUUCACACAAUUUAAAGGAAUAAUGAGAGGACAUUCUCAGUAUUUCACUGCAUGACAAAACCGUUCUACUUUUAUUUAUUUCAUUAAUUAAACAUGGGCAAUGUGUUUUUAAAGCUACUUGUGUCUUUCAUGUGCUUGAAAGCUUGUUCAAGUGCUUUUGGAGGCUCUGUUUCUGUAGUUGGUGUGAAGAUUGCAGCAACCCUAGGAAUUGGCUGUGUGUCCCAACAGAGGAACAUACCCAGAAGCUUUCUUCUCAUCAAAGCUGUUUCCAGGUCCUCCUGCUGUCACUGAACAUCAGGAAGUAGCUGGUCACCCAGUGAGAGCUCCCAUAUCCUCCCUGGGUGGCCACAGCUGUGACCUUCACUCUCUCUCCAAGUUCAAUCUGCAGCCACUGGUAUUUGUUUGAUACAGUGGAGUCCAGCCACCAGCUCCUGUUCCUGGAAAUGGAAACAAACAAAAAAAAUGGAAUAUUUUAAAUCAGCUGUUUUGCCCUAUUGCACCCCUGAAAGCAAGAUGGCUCCCUAGCAGUUCUACUAGAGGCACUGGGAAAAUUCAACCACUGUUCUUACUCUCAUAGUGAUCUAUCUGGAAAUAAUGGCUUCAAGUGUGGCACCACUGUUUCCAUCAGUACCCAAAAAAUAUAUAGGCUUCAUUAAGUUGGACUAAGUGAUCUUCCUUGAAUGGAUUAUCCCUGGACAUCCACCCAGUGAAAGAAUAUAUACUAGCUUUUUAUACAGCAAAUAAAAAAUCUAAAAGCUUCAAAAAGCCUCUUAAGAAUGUGAACAUCAAUGAAACAUAAAUAUCAUAGUUUCAAAUUAUAGAAUAUACACUAUAUCAUAAUUGCACACAUACACAAUAAAGAACACAUUAAGGGUACAUGGAUGAAGGCUGUAUUAAUUAUUCUGAUCUGUAGCUCUUAAACCCUGGCUUUCCAGUGUCCGCUAGCUCAAUGCUAAUCUGGAUAGAAGUGCAAAGAGUCAAUUCAACACAGGUUUGGACAGCACAUCAGUUUGGAACUCUUUAGUGGCCUUAAUGCAUGAUUUGCCCCUUAUUGGACAUGAAGAAAAAUAUCCGGCUCAUAGUGCCACAGUCUGGCUGGGCACAAAUCACCGAGCCGCCACAAAGCACUUGUAUAUUCAAACAGGAAACUUUAUUGCCUGAACUCCACCAGCACUCCACGCACACUCCCCGGGAACUCUCCCACCUCUCCACUGGGCUCCGCGCCUACUCUCCCGGACCCGCGAGAACUCUAAAGUAGCGGGCACCCGAGGCAGCAAGAGCCACCCUAUUGCCAGACAGUAAAGGUCUAUAUACAGUUGAAUACACAGCUUAACAUAACCAUCAUCAUCUCAGUGGCUUGCUGGCCUCACCUCUCAACCACUCCCUUAUGGCAAAAUGCCAUGCGUCAUCCAUACUCAGCUGUGGCCCUCAACAUCAUAGCACAGCUAGAAAACCUAAAUUGUGGAUCCCCAGUGUUAGGCACAGUGCCAACCCUGGAGUAGUAAGAUGGUUAUGGCGUGAAGCACUCAGGUGCUUGCAGACUCAUAGGACUGAUAGACAUCUCAAAACUAUUUGAAAUAAAGUGCAGUGGAGGGUGGAGGGUGUUGGAAUGGAGAUUUCUGUGCAGAAGAGGCAGAGUUAUGAGGGCAAGUUGGGAGGGUUCGAGAGACCCUCACCUGGAAAGUGGUGCCUUCACUGUUUGGAAAGACAAGGAGUUCCCCAGGCAUUCAAGACAAUAGAGCAGAACAGAAAUGACUGUGCUCUGUUGUGUCCAAUGCCUGCUGAAACAGAAGUAUUCAGGGUGUCUGAGGAUACACUGAUGACAUAUUUUAUUCUCCCAUUUUAAUGGAAAUAUGAGUUGUGCACAGCCACCCAUAGGUAUGCACAGGAAAUUGGUUGAGGACCCCCUUAGAUAUCAAAUUCCUAGGAUGCUCAGGUCCAUCCAUUAUGUGAAAUGAUGUAGUAUUUGCAUAUAAACUACCCUCUAUAUCCUUUAAAUCGUCUCUAGAUCAUUUGCAAUACCCAAACAAUGCAAUGAUAUGUACACAGCUAUUAUAUGGUAUUGUUGAUGGAAUAAUGACAAGAAAAAUGUCUGUGUGUGUGUUCAGCACAGACCACUUUUUCUGAUCAUAGGUUGAAUCUAUGGCUGAGGAACAAGUGAAUAUGGAGAACUAACUGUAUGUAGAUUUAUAUUUUUCGUAUUGGAUUUUCUGACUUUAAAAUGUAAUCAUAAAAUUUGGAAAUAUUUGAAAAUCAUUGCAAUAUUUCUCUAACAAUGUCUAGAAAACAGAAAUGGCUUGCUAAUUGUAAGGGUCCGGCGAAGCGUCGGAGAAAGAGACCACCAAGUGACCACUCAUGCAAUUGGCAGAAGGGGAUUUAUUGGGAUCCGAUUCAGCGCGCUGAGGCUCCAGGCUCUCCCAGGAAGGGAAAGCAGCCCAGAGCCCCGAGCAGGGGCUGAGCACUGCUUAAGUACACUUUUUUUGGGGAGGGCGGGGAUUUUACAUACAUCACAGUCUCCUUUAACAAAUCAUCAUACACCACGGGAAAAUCAAACAACAAUUCCUAAACAUGAUUAGUUCAUUCAUUGGCGGGAACAGGUCGGGCGGGGGUGAUAGGUCAGUUCUAAACGGGGUACACAUUCAAACUGAUUGGUCCAGGCCCUGCAAUGCCUACGUGCAAGAUCACACAGAGCCCUGAAUUAUUAAACAACCAAGCAGACAGUCAGGGGGGAAUAUUUACUGGGCGGUUCCAAGCAUUGUCUUAACAACUACAGGAAUUUCAGGUUAACAAUACCUAAUCCUUUACAUUUUAACUCAGGCCUUGCAGCCUAGAAACUUUAUACAAUGCCUGGUCUUUUACACUUUAACUUCAAUUUCUUUUACCCUUACACUAAUGACUACUAAUAUAACAAAAGUUGCUUUUUUCCUAAACUUCCCCCACUAUUCUUAUACCUGAAACUUGAGGUUCUGAUAAUAAUGUCUGACAGUUUUAGACUGCAUUUGUUGUUCACUUGUUUCUGCUCAUUAAUCAAUAGCACUGACGCCCAUGCCCUGUUUGUAAGUAGACAUGGUUAGGAUGAUCUGGCACCUGCAGGACUGCAGGAGGUGCCAAAGGGGACACACAGACCCCUGCCUCUGGCUAUAUCCUCCGUGCUCCAUGCUACACAAGUGUGCUGCUGAUCCUCCAGGAAAAUAUAAAGCCUGCAGAUCAUUAGUCCCUGAUUCCCUCUAAGAUUUCCUCAUUAGCAUCACUAAAUCUUUGUUCAAAUAGUCAAAAUUUUCCUAAGCACAAUGUCUUUUUCUUUGAUCCUGAAUCUCAAAUCAGCUGUAAUUGUGACUGCUCUAUAGUGCAUUUUCUGUAUUUUUAUUUUGAAGGAAUUUCAGAUUUACAGAAGAAUUACAAAGAUUGUAUAGGCAAUUUCCAUGUCCUUUUUAACUUCCUUCCCCAGGACACUUUGAUCAAAUCUAAGGUACUAACAUUGGGACAAUAUUAUUAAUUUUAACUGACAAACAAAAAUUGCAUGUAUUUAUGGUAUACCACACAUUUUGACAUAUUCAUAUAUGGUGGAGUUGAAAGGGUAAAGUUUCUAAGCUGCAAAGCCUGAGUUAAAAUGUAAAGGACCAGGCAUUGUAAACCUGCUUCUAAACUGCAAAGCAUGGGUUAAAUUCCUGAGGCAGUUAAGACAAUGCCCUACUGGCCAUUUAGUUGAUUUAUAGCCUAAGAUCCUGUGCAGUCCAGCACAUACACACCUCAGGGCCUAAACCAAUCAGUUUAAAUGUAACCCCCUCCUUAAGAAUGACCUAUCACUCCAGCCAGCCCUGUUCCUGCCAAUGUAUGUACUAAUCAAGUCUAAGAAUUGUUGUUUGACUUUCCCACGGUGUAUGGUGAUUUGUUAAAGGAGACUGUGAUGUAUGUAAAGUCCCCGCCCUCCCCAAAAAAGUGUACUUAAGCAUUGUUCAACCCCGGCUCUGGGCUCUGGGCUGCUUUCCCUUCUCGAGUGGGCAUGGAGCCCCAGCAUGCUGGAUCAAUAAAUCCCCUUCUGCCAAUUGCAUGAGUGGUCUCUUGGUGGUCUCUUUCUCUGACGCUUCGCCGGACCCUUACAGAGUGUAAUUAGCAUAUAUAUUACCACAAUACUAACUCUUUGGUGGUAAGAAUCUUAAAAUCCACUCUCAGGAACAGUCAUAUGAUGGGAUAAUUAUAUAUAUUCAGGAAGUCAGCAGGACAAUGUCAUUAACAAGACCUCAAAUUAUUUUGAUUGCUUGAGUUUUCCACUUACUCACUUUUUCUGUAAAAUCUCCAGGAUUUUACAUUAAAUGUCAUCAUCCUAUCUCUUUAGAGUUCCCAACACUGGGAUAGGUUCUCAGCCUUUGCUUUUCACAACAAGGUGGGCCAUUACUCAGUCCUUUUUGCCAAGUCCCACUGUCUGUCCCAGCUUCCAAUCUAAUGUUUGGUAAAUGCGAAGUCUGUCUGGUUUCAGCUGAGAGUCAACUGACAAUCCUGAGUAUCAUUCCUGCUGCAACAGCUCCUGACUUUAUAGCUAUUUAAACAAUGUUAGAAAUUAGAUAUUGUUGCUGGGCACACACCUGCAAUCCCAGCAGCUCAGGAGGCUGAGGCAGGAGGAUUUCAAGUUUGAGGCCAGCCUCAGUAACUAACCAACGCCCUAAGCAACUUAGUCUUGUCUCAAAAUAAAUAAAAAGGUCUGAGGAUGAGGUCAGUAGUUAUAGUUAAGCGUCACUGGGUUCAAUUUCUAGCACCAGAAAAGAAAAUAGGUACUGUUGGUUCUUUAACCUACAUUUAAUAAUCUAGAUGCCUCAGCUUAAGAUUCUAAGAAACUACCAGUUCUCACAUGCUCUGUAGGGCAUGAUGUAAGGUGGAGCAUGUUGCAUCAGAAAAGAGGAAACUUAACUUGCUGGCUGCUACCCACUUCCCAGUCCUGGGCCACAUGUGGCUGAGAGAGCACCUGGCGAUUAGCCAGAGGGCACUGCCAUGGGUUGUGAUGAAGAAUGGGACCUCCUCUAGGGUAGGCUCAGAACCCUUCUGCCCUCAAGGACAGCUCCUGUCUCCCAUUACUGCCUGUAGGACGGGUGUAGAUGUGAACUCUCCCCACCCUGCUGACCUUUACCCUGAUUGGCUCCUGUACAUUAGAUUAGCUGUGUGUGUUUUCUCAUUAAACGAGAUCCUGCUUUGACUGUUCUCCUGGCCCGCCCAAUUGUCCUCCGGGGAGGGAGGGCUGGGUGCGGGCGGACAGUCGACCUUUACCUUUCUUGUCCUGUCCUGGUCGGGGCGUGCUCCCCCAAUCUCUCCCACAGAUCUGGAGGGAAUGGGGGGGGGGGGGCGGCUAAAAACCCCGACCAUGUUCUUGCUCAUGUUAGUAUUAAAGUUCUGGAGAAUGGAUCGAUGAUACAAUUCUGUUUUUCAUUUCAUCGUCUUCCUGUCCUUUUCAUUCCUUAUGGAAGCCAGGAAACGUAAUCAAUGUGGAAACCCAUGUAGAGAAGCACAACCAAAUAAGAAAUAUCAGGAGGUUCCCCGCAUGUAGCCCCGGGACCAGCCUCUCUCUCUAGGACAGCCCCAUGCCUGCAGGUCAGCUAUCAACAACUGCACUGAAUUGACCUUGAACAUAGCACAUCCCUUCCCUGUGGGGAGGAGGUGCUGCUGGUAUGCAAAUUAAGCUAUGUGAUUACUUGAUUUCCUGAUAAUGUAAUGAAACUUCGGAAAGACCCUGUCAUCAGGCAAUCAUGACAGCAGGAAAAAAGUCACAGAUAAACCGCAGAUUCCUGUGGGCCAUGACACUGAGCUGCUGGUCCUCUGUACACGUCCGCUGUCCCCAGUACUGGGGUAGAUGGUGCUUUUUCUAAAAUUUAAUAGAGUGUUGAAGAGAGAGAAUGGGGAAUAUACAAACUCUGACCUGAGGAAUUCUAGGAACUUGAGACAGUAUGGGAGAUGAAGACUGCUCCCUGGGAACACUCAGGAUGUCACCACAGGCUUCAAGAGCAGAAAUCAACUGGUCUUCAGGGUUAAGGCCAGACAAACACCCCCAGCACACAGCAAGAGCCAAGGAGCAGCAUGAGGAGCUGACACACCAGGACAUCUCCUCCUGCCGCAGCACAGUCCCACCAGGGCAGGACACUGUCCUGUGCAUCCAAAUACCAUCUGGCAAAGAAGAAGGAACAGCACGAGGAAAUCUGAGCUUCCCUGGAAGGCACUCAUCCUGCAAAAUAGGUAACUGAGUCCAGCAGAGCCCGGAUUCUGGGGUGACUCUGUAAUUUGGCAUAGUUGGCAGACAAAAGCCACAGGUACCACUGCCUCCCUGAAGGCUGCUGAGGACCCUGGAAACAAGCAUGGCCGGUUCAUUCUGUGUGUCUCAUCUGGUAACUUAGGCUCCAUGGAGAGUACAGAGGCUCUGAAGCUAGACAGGAGCAGGACAGAACCGGAGCAGGUGAGCGUUUCCCUUCUAGGUCCUGUGAGAAACUGCCCAGCCUUGUUGCUUCAGAGCUUUCCUUCCCAGGUGCUACUAUCUGGAAUUUCAGGAAAACGGACUAAAUAAAGCUAUGCGGCUGCCAAGACAGGGCUCUGUGCACCAGCACAUGGACAUAGUUAACACACACGCUUUUCCCUUUGGCCUGUCCACAGCACUUCACACCGUCGUGCAUCUGCAGGGUUUUUAAAAGUUUUUGUUGUUUCAGGAAAAAAAAGGGUAGCUUAAAAAUGGAACAUCUGUUGGUCCUCAUAGGUCUAAAAUUUUUAGGAAGAACAAAUAAACAUAACUAAGUAUCUGUUAUGCAAAGGCAUAAACAUCCCUGUAUUUCAUUUGCUUUUAUAGGAAUCUGGUGUGUAAGUCCCUUUAUUGUGAUUUGAAUUGACCUACUUGAUGGAUCACAGGCCAAUUCCAUCAGGCUACUACCUGUGCAUAAAGAUGGAAGUACAAAAACAAAAACAAAAAAAACUAGGUUCUAUGAAAAAGGGUGAGGCAAAGAUUUGCAUUGAACAGUUAGUAAUAUUCUGAUUUAUAUCAGGAGUUGACAUACUUUCAGAUAUUUUAAGCAUGCUCUUCUGAUUUUUUUUAAAAAUAUUUCUUGUAUUAAAACCAACAAAUUUUUUUAAGAUUUUGCUUUUUUAAAAAUAAGCAGUAUUUAAUUUGAACAGAGAGUACAAAAAUCUAACAUCAUCCAAAUCUUAUGACAAUUAAAAAGCUCACCAUUUGUUUUUACAAAUUCUCUUUUUUAAAGGAAAGUAUUUUUCUUUAAAGGUGGACAACAUGUCUUUAUUUUAUUUAUGCUGAGGGUCAAACUCAGUGCCUCCCAUGUGUGAAGUAAGCGCUGUUAGGCUCUAGUCCCAGACCACUUUUACAAAUUCUGAAGGAAAAAGUUUGAAAUAGUAAACUACAAAAAUAAUGUUGAAACUACUCUUUAGCUUUAAAGACCCUAUUACUGACUUUGGCAAGUUUUAUAUCAAAUAUGAUGUUAGUAGCUUUCACAUUGCAUGAUUUAUCAUUUACAAUGUUAGUGUUUGGGAUUGGACCCAGGGCUGCAUGCAUGUUGGGUAGUAAACUACCAAUGAGCCACACCUCAGCUCCUAAUAUCAACGUUUUCUUCCCCCUGAGCCAACACACUUUACUCCUGAACUGCACUUUCACUUUCACAUAGUCUGUUUUAAAGAGCUGCAACAAGUCGGUGAGGGAGGGGGAACAGGAGCCCUCAGAAGCCAAGAGCCCUGGGACAGGGGAAGGAGCCUUAGGCCGCCAGCCCUCCACCUGCACGCUCACAGCGAGUCAGCAGCUCCUCACACAUGAGUACACACAUGCCUAAAAAGACAGGACAUCAUCUUCACAAGGAAUGAGAGCUGCUCUGGAACAUGGACAGCAGAAAGCCUGGAGCGGCCAGGGCUGUGCUGAGACCCCCAGGGAUGAGACAGUCGAGGCUGGAGCAGAGGGAGGCCUGAAGGGGUCUUGGCCAGGCCAUUUUGACCUUGGCAGCCCUGGUGCCCAGGCUGGACAGUGGGGAAAUAUCUACCUGAUCAGGAGAGACAGGCCCCCCCUCCAGUCAGCCCCCACCCACUGGCCUGUGCACCGAGGUCUCCUUCCUGAGGUAGGGAAGACCCCAGGGCUCCUACUGCUAAUCCCUAUAUCUCCCCUUUUAACUCUAGGCUGAGAUCCCUGAAUCCCUGCACCUGAUGGGCAACAGCCCAACACAAUGAAGCCACAGGAUGACCUUGCAGGAAGUGAGGCAGCUGAGGGCCAUAAAUAGCUCUGGGGCAGCUGUCUUGGGCCCAGGUGGUCACUCUGUCAUGGUCCUGGGAGCCGGGAGAAAGGAGGGGAAGGGACUAGGGUGGUGCUAAUCUGCAAGGGCCAUGCUAGCUUUUGCAUGGGGUACUUCCUGCAGCCAUGUCCCCUCCCCCCAAGGUGGGACUAGCCUCUAGCCAGAGGCCUCUGGAAAACAUUCACCCUAGGAGUGAGGACUUUGUCCAGGCCAGUGUUGGGGAGGAAGUCCUGAUCCUUGCUUCUUUACCACAAGCAGAUCUGAAUUCCUAAUUAGUCAAAAAUGUCCUUUAAAUGGUUCUUGGGGGUAGAGAUAGAAGGGAUAGGGGCCCAGGUCCAGAGAGGGAUGGGAAAUGAUGAUCAACUCUGAGGCUACAAACAUCCCAACAAAGGCCAUCUAGUCUUUUUCUGGGGAAGAGGUUCAAAAACCUUUCUAGCUCCUUACCAGGAAAGCAGUCUUAGAGACUAAGGGGCAGUAAGGAUCUGCCAAUGGGGUAGGGCCCUCCUGCCCCCAGCCACCCCUACACCCUGCCAGCCUUCAAGAGACAGAUUUGGGGGAGAUUUUGAAGACUCUGAUGGCAAGAGAACUGAGGUGUGUGGGAAGGUGGCUGUCACAGAAGCACAGUAGUUCUAGAAAACUAACUGCAGGGAACCAGGUCUAGGCCCAAGCCAGUGAUGGAUGGUGGGCGUGGCUGCAGGUCAUGAAUGGUUCUCCUGGUGGCAAUGGACAGAGGGAUGUGGUGGGGCGGGGUGGGAGGGAGGGUGAGUGGGUGGUCAGAGUCUGCUCAUUUCUGACUGAACAGCCAGCCCAGCAGAACCACACCAGCCAUAGUCAUGUCCAUCAGGAAACAAUGGUUGGAGCCUUCCUGGUCCUUCCAGCUACUCACUGCCACAUUAUUCCCACGGAGUUCCACAAAAGUGUCCCAGCUGCCGCUGUCCUGGAUCCUGUUCUCUAGGUGAUCAUUCAGGUAAGUGGCCACCCAACUUGCGAUCUGACUCACCAAUACCUGCUUCUCCUUGUCUAUGCCUUCCACACACAGGGUUCCUCCAAAGGAGCAAAAGGCCACAAUGCAGCCCCAGUUGACCACAUCCUGGAAGAGUUCCUUCACUACCUGUUCAAAGGUCUGAUGUGCUGUCUCUGGGGUGACGUGGAGCUUGGACGUCAUGUCACUGAAUGCCUGCAGGUACCUGCUGCAGUUCAGACUUGUCGCCUGCCUCCCUCAGUGCUUGCUUCAGUCACCUCCGGGGCAUCCAAACUUCUGUGAUGGCCAGUGGCUCUACUCACCAUGGGGCUGCCCAGCAGACGCCAGGAUGGGUUGUCAUUGAUGGCACUGGUGGGUUCCACCUCUGAUUCAGUCCCUUCUGGGGCUUCAAUGCUGUUCCCUUCCACAUGGCUUAACUGACACCAGCUGUAUCCUUUCUGGGAAAGUUUAUGGGACAGAAAGUCAACCACUAGUUCUAGGUGGCCCUGAGACACUUUUAAAAUAGAGAUGGGCUCAACCACUCCUUGGUCAAAAACACGUGUUUUUGACCAAGACUGAGUCUGGUCUCUGCUUGAUGAUUAUCUUAUGAGAUGAAAAGUCAAGAUAAGGUUGUGUAGCUGUCCUGUUAGGGGCACCUGCCGACCCUCUGGAGGAGCGUGUAGAUCUAUGGCGGAGUCCAUCUCAGGAUGUCCCAGGAAGGCCAAGGCAGGUCCUCCAUCUCCACUCAGGGCCCGUCCCCACAGGCCCAGCCUGCGUCCUUCUCCCAGAACCCGCUGACUGAUCAGGGUCUCCACCUGUGCUGACACCCUCCAGUCGCCAUAACCAACGAAUUUUAUAUCAUGUGCUAUUUGGGAAAUUGCAGAAUUUGAAUAGUGAAAUCCCAUGUUGGAAGAAGCCAUUUAGCAUCUUAAGGGCAAAUCUAAACAUUUUCCCCGAUCUAAUCAUUUUUAUUUUCUUAGUUAUCUGCCUCAUGCCCAUAAUAUAAAUGUAUAUUACUAAAUGUAUGGGAGUGAGAAAUAAGUUUCUUAAUGUUAACAAUGAGUUUCUAAAAUGCUCAGCAAUGAAUAGUAUUAGAAGUAUUAGGCAAAAAAUGUUCCUGGCUGCACCAACAGAUGAGUGCAGUCCAUGUUCUAUGGAAAUGUGCUCCCUGGCUCAGCAUUGGUGAGACUGAGAAUCAUAAGGCAGAAAUGAACAAGCCAAUCAGUUCCUUUUGUCUCCAUCUACUUUUAUUGUAGAAUAAAUGAUACUGCAUUCUUACUGCCACUUUUGAUAGAGUUGUCAUCAAAACUGUUGACAAUUUCCCGUCCCCAAUGGGGUCUCCCAUGCAGGUGGCCGCUUUCAGCUUUAGAACCCAGGAUUUCAGCAUCCGAGUCAUGAACAGAGCAGUCCUUUCUGGAAAGAAGCAUUUAUGCAAGCAUUUGGGGGAGCAGAAAGGAAAAAAAAAAUCUCAUAUGCUUCUUCCUAGUCAAUUUCAACCACCUCUGCCAAGAUCCUGGCUCUGGUCUCCACGACGACAGCCCCCAUGAUUGACAGGAUGAGAAUGUGGCCCUGAGGUUGGAAGGCAGCAGCAUCUGGAAUGCUAUGAGCCAGCUUGAUCCAGGGUCGCUAAACUCCCUACACAAGAAUAAUGUGGAAUGAAAGGCUCAUGUGGCUACUUUUGGAGACGGUUUUCUGGGUGUUUAUUUUUUAUUUUUUAACUUUUGUCAGGAUAAAUUUGGAGUACAAAGUUUCUUAAGGAAGUUUUUAAGAAGAAAAAAAGUGAAAAUUAAUAUUAUAGCAUGUUCUUACUUAGAAUGCAGAUUUCAGAAAUCUGCUUUUAUAUGAGACAUUAACUCUUUUAAUUUUAGAAAAUAAAUUUUAAUUUUGAUGGCAACAAAGUAACAGUCAAAUCUAAUUUUUUAGGAAUUUAUAUCCAUAUCUAAUAACAUCAAUUUUCUUCAUUAGGUAUAAGUUUUAUUUCUUAAAAUGUAUCAAUUUAAAAAUUUUUAAUGCAAGCAUUUCAAGGUGUCAACUUUUCUACAGUUUGUUUCUUGGUAUAGAAAGCUAUCAUUUCAGGGUUAUUCUGUUAAAUGUAAACCUUUAACCCAACCUCAGGCUUUAAAUGUGAAUUCCAGAAAAACCACCACAAGCAAAGAUUUUAAAAAUGAAUUCUAAAAUAUACCCAAUGGAAUAUUUCCAGCCAUAAAGAGAUAUGAAAUUAUGGCACUUGCUGGUAAAUGGAUGGAACUGGAGACUAUCAUGCUAAGUGAAAUAAACCAAUCCCCAAAAAACAAAGGCCGAAUUCUCUCUCUCUGAUGUGCAGAUACUAACUCACAAUGCCAGUGGUUAGGGGAGAAAAGAAGCACUUUGGAUUAGACAAAUGGGAAGGAAGGGAAGGAGGGGGAAUGGGACUAGGAAAGACAGUAGAAUCACCCAGACAUUACUUUCCUAUGCUCAUAUAUGAAUACACAACCAAUGUAAUCCCACAUCAUGUAUAACCAACAGAAUAGGAAGUUGUACUCCAUGUAUGUAUGUCAAAAUACAUUCUAUUGUCAUAUAUAACUGAAAAGAACAAAUAAAAUAGUAAAUAAACUCUAAGAGCAUUUAAUUCUAUGUUGAAUGAUAAUACUAACUCAUUACUAUCUCUAUAAUAAUUUUCUCUUGUAUUAGGGAACUCAUAAAAAUCACUGAGCCAGGUGUAGCCACAAGAUCACUGGCCAUGAUGCUCAGCCCCUUGGGAGCUGCCUCUCUGCCUUUGGUCCCUGGAAACACCUGAACCUGCCCAAAUUCUCUACUCAGCCCUCAUAGUAUCUUUCAUAAUACCCCCUUUCCUUUAUUUUUCAC